rnacentral:rRNA from 1 species
GACGAACGCUGGCGGCGUGCCUAAUACAUGCAAGUUGAGCGCUGAAGGUUGGUACUUGUACCAACUGGAUGAGCAGCGAACGGGUGAGUAACGCGUGGGGAAUCUGCCUUUGAGCGGGGGACAACAUUUGGAAACGAAUGCUAAUACCGCAUAAAAACUUUAAACACAAGUUUUAAGUUUGAAAGAUGCAAUUGCAUCACUCAAAGAUGAUCCCGCGUUGUAUUAGCUAGUUGGUGAGGUAAAGGCUCACCAAGGCGAUGAUACAUAGCCGACCUGAGAGGGUGAUCGGCCACAUUGGGACUGAGACACGGCCCAAACUCCUACGGGAGGCAGCAGUAGGGAAUCUUCGGCAAUGGACGAAAGUCUGACCGAGCAACGCCGCGUGAGUGAAGAAGGUUUUCGGAUCGUAGAACUCUGUUGGUAGAGAAGAACGUUGGUGAGAGUGGAAAGCUCAUCAAGUGACGGUAACUACCCAGAAAGGGACGGCUAACUACGUG